UACGAAGGGUGCAAACGUUGCUCGGAAUCAUUGGGCGUAAAGCGCACGUAGGCGGCUUUGCAAGUCGGAUGUGAAAUCCCAUGGCUCAACCAUGGACGUGCAUUCGAAACUGCAAAGCUUGAGUAUGGAAGAGGGUCGCGGAAUUCCCGGUGUAGAGGUGAAAUUCGUAGAUAUCGGGAGGAACACCAGUGGCGAAGGCGGCGACCUGGGCCAAUACUGACGCUGAGGUGCGAAAGCGUGGGGAGCAAACAGG
rnacentral:rRNA from 1 species